UACGGAGGAUCCAAGCGUUAUCCGGAUUUAUUGGGUUUAAAGGGUGCGUAGGUGGCUUUUUAAGUCAGGGGUGAAAGACGGUAGCUUAACUAUCGCAGUGCCUUUGAUACUGAAGAGCUUGAAUGAACUAGAGGUAGGCGGAAGUGUGACAAGUAGCGGUGAAAUGCAUAGAUAUGUCACAGAACACCGAUUGCGAAGGCAGCUUACUAUGGUUUUAUUGACACUGAGGCACGAAAGCGUGGGGAUCAAACAGG
rnacentral:rRNA from 1 species